rnacentral:rRNA from 1 species
UACGUAGGUGGCAAGCGUUGUCCGGAUUUACUGGGCGUAAAGGAUGCGUAGGCGGACAUUUAAGUCAGAUGUGAAAUACCCGAGCUUAACUUGGGUGCUGCAUUUGAAACUGGGGUGUCUAGAGUGCAGGAGAGGAACGCGGAAUUCCAGGUGUAGCGGAUGAAAUGCGUAGAUAUCUGGAGGAACACCGGUGGCGAAGGCGGCGUCUGG